UACAGAGGGGGCAAGCGUUGUUCGGAAUUACUGGGCGUAAAGGGCGCGUAGGCGGCCUUCUAAGUCGAACGUGAAAUCCCCGGGCUCAACCCGGGAACUGCGUCCGAUACUGGAAGGCUUGAAUCCGGGAGAGGGAUGCGGAAUUCCAGGUGUAGCAGUGAAAUACGUAGAUAUCUGGAGGAACACCGGUGGCGAAGGCGGCAUCCUGGACCGGCAUUGACGCUGAUGCACGAAAGCUAGGGGAGCAAACAGG
rnacentral:rRNA from 1 species